rnacentral:rRNA from 1 species
UACGUAGGGUGCGAGCGUUAAUCGGAAUUACUGGGCGUAAAGCGUGCGCAGGCGGUUCGUUGUGUCGGCGGUGAAAGCCCCGGGCUUAACCUGGGAAUGGCCGUUGAAACUGGCGAACUGGAGUGUGGCAGAGGGGGGUGGAAUUCCGCGUGUAGCAGUGAAAUGCGUAGAGAUGCGGAGGAACACCGGUGGCGAAGGCAGCCCCCUGGGCUGACACUGACGCUCAGGCACGAAAGCGUGGGGAGCAAACAGG